GAGCGAAGGUGCUUGCACCUUAGCUUAGCGGCGGACGGGUGAGUAAUGCUUAGGAAUCUGCCUAUUAGUGGGGGACAACGUUUCGAAAGGAACGCUAAUACCGCAUACGUCCUACGGGAGAAAGCAGGGGAUCUUCGGACCUUGUGCUAAUAGAUGAGCCUAAGUCGGAUUAGCUAGUUGGUGGGGUAAAGGCCUACCAAGGCGACGAUCUGUAGCGGGUCUGAGAGGAUGAUCCGCCACACUGGGACUGAGACACGGCCCAGACUCCUACGGGAGGCAGCAGUGGGGAAUAUUGGACAAUGGGCGAAAGCCUGAUCCAGCCAUGCCGCGUGUGUGAAGAAGGCCUUUUGGUUGUAAAGCACUUUAAGCGAGGAGGAGGCUUCUUUGGUUAAUACCCAAAGUAAGUGGACGUUACUCGCAGAAUAAGCACCGGCUAACUCUGUGCCAGCAGCCGCGGUAAUACAGAGGGUGCAAGCGUUAAUCGGAUUUACUGGGCGUAAAGCGUGCGUAGGCGGCUAAUUAAGUCAAAUGUGAAAUCCCCGAGCUUAACUUGGGAAUUGCAUUCGAUACUGGUUAGCUAGAGUAUGGGAGAGGAUGGUAGAAUUCCAGGUGUAGCGGUGAAAUGCGUAGAGAUCUGGAGGAAUACCGAUGGCGAAGGCAGCCAUCUGGCCUAAUACUGACGCUGAGGUACGAAAGCAUGGGGAGCAAACAGGAUUAGAUACCCUGGUAGUCCAUGCCGUAAACGAUGUCUACUAGCCGUUGGGGUCUUUGAGACCUUAGUGGCGCAGCUAAC
rnacentral:rRNA from 1 species